rnacentral:rRNA from 1 species
UGGGGAAUUUUCCGCAAUGGGCGAAAGCCUGACGGAGCAAUACCGCGUGAGGGAUGAAAGCCUGUGGGUUGUAAACCUCUUUUCUCAAGGAAGAAGUUCUGACGGUACUUGAGGAAUAAGCAUCGGCUAACUCUGUGCCAGCAGCCGCGGUAAUACAGAGGAUGCAAGCGUUAUCCGGAAUCACUGGGCAUAAAGCGUCUGUAGGUGGUUUAGUAAGUCUGUUGUUAAAGACUAGGGCUUAACCCUAGGAAAGCAAUGGAAACUACUAGACUUGAGUAUGGUAGAGGUAGAGGGAAUUCCUAGUGUAGCGGUGAAAUGCGUAGAUAUUAGGAAGAACACCAAUGGCGAAAGCACUCUACUGGGCCAUAACUGACACUGAGGGACGACAGCUAGGGGAGCAAAUGGGAUUAGAUACCCCAGUAGU